GAAAUGCGAUACGUAAUGCGAAUUGCAGAAUUCAGUGAAUCAUCAAAUCUUUGAACGCAAAUUGCGCUUUCUGGAUAGGCCAGGGAGCAUGCUUCUUUGAGUCUCGCUUCUACCUCAUCUCGGCAGCUCUUUGUGAAUAACGAAGUUCGGCCGGAUAAUGAGCGUCUCAUUCGAAAUGAGUGAGUCGCUUUAAGAAGCGUGAGUUCCAAAACUCCUAGUACCAAAAGGCCGAGCAAUCGGUCUUUGCCUAUGUUUAGGUUUCAUUAACUACUAGUGACGUGGAUAAAUUUAUUUUUCAACGUUACAACGGUGGCUGAUGGCUUGAAUGUACGGUCAAGGUACACAUGGAAACCUGAAACUCAAUGGAAAUUAAAUUCUUUUUGAAUUCGAGCUCAAAUGA
rnacentral:misc_RNA from 1 species